GACAGAGGCCCCAAGCGUUAGGCGGAAUCACUGGGCUUAAAGCGUGUGUAGGCGGACGCCUAAGUGUCUUGUGAAAUCCCACGGCUCACCCGUGGAACUGCUGGGCAUGCUGGGCGUCUUGGGCCAACUAGGGGCAGCCGGAACAAGCGGUGGAGCGGUGAAAUGCGUAGAUAUCGCUUGGAACGCCGAAGGUGAAAACAGGCUGCUGGGGUUGCGCCGACGCUGAGACACG
rnacentral:rRNA from 1 species